GCGCACCAGGCGAGAAUACUUUACAAUGUGCGAAAGCACGAUAAGGGAACUCUGAGUGCCUCCUAAGGAGGCUGUUCAGGUGUCUAAAAAGCACCUGAAGGAAGGGCUGGGUAAGACCGGUGCCAGCCGCCGCGGUAACACCGGCAGCCCAAGUGGUAGCCACGUUUAUUGGGUCUAAAGCGUCCGUAGCCGGCUGGGUAAGUUCCUUGGGAAAUUUGGCUGCUUAACAGUCAAGCUUUCAGGGAAUACUGCCCGGCUUGGGACCGGGAGAGGUCAGAGGUACUCCAGGGGUAGGGGUGAAAUCCAUUAAUCCUUGGGGGACCACCGGUAGCGAAGGCGUCUGACCAGACCGGGUCCGACGGUGAGGGACGAAGGCUA
rnacentral:rRNA from 1 species